ACUCAAAUGAAUUGACGGGGACCUGCACAAGCGGUGGAGCAUGUGGUUUAAUUCGACGGUAAGCGAGGAACCUUACCUGGGCUUGACAUCUAGCUGCAAGCGCACAGAAAUGUGUGACCUUCGAGGGUGCUAGACAGGUGCUGCACGGUUGUCGUCAGCUCGUGCCGUGAGGUGUUCACUUAAGUGUGAAAACGAGCGCAACCCCUAUCAUCAGUUACAAGUGUCUGAUGAAACUGCCGGCGUCUAAGCCGGAGGAAGGCGGGGAUGACGUCAAAUCAGCGUGGCUCUUACGCCUAGGGCUACACACGUGCUACAAUGGGUAAUUACAAAGGGACGCCAAGUCGUAAGACGGAGCAAAUCCUGCCAAAAUUACCCCCAGUUCGGAUUGAGGGCUGCAACUCGCCCUCAUGAAGCCGGAAUCGCUAGUAACCGUAGAUCAGCCUCGCUACGGUGAAUACGUUCUCAGGUUUUGCACACACCGCCCGU
rnacentral:rRNA from 1 species